ensembl:snoRNA SNORA62 Small nucleolar RNA SNORA62/SNORA6 family
CCCGCACAUUGUUAGAGCUUGGAGUGAGGCCACUGGCUGGCCAACGAACUCACAAGUGUAGGCAGCAUGCUACACGAGGGGCGAGUCUUUCACCAACACCACCAAGGAUUCUGGCCCAAUGGGUGGAGUUCCAUAGCAAUUCUGGCUAAAAGU